rnacentral:rRNA from 1 species
CCUGUUAGCAAGGUCCGGGCAAGACCGGUGCCAGCCGCCGCGGUAACACCGGCGGCCCGAGUGGUGAUCGUGAUUAUUGGGUCUAAAGGGUCCGUAGCCGGUUUGGUCAGUCCUCCGGGAAAUCUGAUAGCUCAACUAUUAGGCUAUCGGGGGAUACUACCAGACUUGGAACCGGGAGAGGUAAGAGGUACUACAGGGGUAGGAGUGAAAUCUUGUAAUCCCUGUGGGACCACCUGUGGCGAAGGCGUCUUACCAGAACGGGUUCGACGGUGAGGGACGAAGGCUGGGGGCACGAACCGGAUUAGAUACCCGGGUAGUCCCAGCCGUAAACGAUGCUCGCUAGGUGUCAGGCAUGGCGCGACCGUGUCUGGUGCCGCAGGGAAGCCGUGAAGCGAGCCACCUGGGAAGUACGGCCGCAAGGCUGAAACUUAAAGGAAUUGGCGGGGGAGC